rnacentral:misc_RNA from 1 species
CGCAGCCGCGGUAAUUCCAGCUCCAAUAGCGUAUAUUAAAGUUGUUGCAGUUAAAAAGCUCGUAGUUGAAUUUCGGGAUCAAUUAAUUGGUCGUGCCUCUGGUACGUACUGAUUUUAUUGGUUUCUCCCUUCUGACGAACCAUGAUGUCAUUAAUUUGGUGUCGUGGAGAAUCAGGACUGUUACUUUGAAAAAAUUAGAGUGUUUAAAGCAAGCUAACGCUUGAAUACAUUAGCAUGGAAUAAUGAAAUAGGACGUUUGAUCCUAUUUUGUUGGUUUCUAGGAUCGACGUAAUGAUUAAUAGGGAUAGUUGGGGGCAUUAGUAUUCAAUUGUCAGAGGUGAAAUUCUUGGAUUUAUUGAAGACUAACUACUGCGAAAGCAUUUGCCAAGGAUGUUUUCAUUAAUCAAGAACGAAAGUUAGGGGAUCGAAGACGAUCAGAUACCGUCGUAGUCUUAACCAUAAACUAUGCCGACUAGGGAUCGGAUGAUGUUAAUUUUUUUAAUGACUCAUUCGGCGCCUU